rnacentral:rRNA from 1 species
UACAGAGGGGGCAAGCGUUGUUCGGAAUUACUGGGCGUAAAGGGCGCGUAGGCGGCCUUCUAAGUCGAACGUGAAAUCCCCGGGCUCAACCCGGGAACUGCGUCCGAUACUGGGAGGCUUGAAUCCGGGAGAGGGAUGCGGAAUUCCAGGUGUAGCGGCGAAAUGCGUAGAUAUCUGGAGGAACACCGGUGGCGAAGGCGGCAUCCUGGACCGGCAUUGACGCUGAGGCGCGAAAGCCAGGGGAGCAAACGGG